rnacentral:rRNA from 1 species
AGCAAACUCGACUCACGAGGGUGUAUUUAUUAGAUCGCAAACAAGUUUAGGGUAGUGUCCUCACAGACGGGUAACGGGGAAUUAGGGUUCGACUCCGGAGAGGGGGCUACCACAUCCAAGGAAGGCAGCAGGCGCGCAAAUUACCCAAUCCUGACACAGGAGGUAGGACAACAAAUACCGGUACAGGGCUUUUUGGGUCUUGUAAUUGGAAUGAGUACAACUAAACCCAUUAAAGCAUACAUUAAAUGCGUUAAGCCCGCAGUUGAAAUUGGGCUUGGCAGCGGUCUGCCUCACGCUAGUACUGGUAUGGCCGGGCCUUUCUCCUGGAGAACUCAUGCUCUUUAUUGAGUGUGUUAGGGAACCAGGACUUUUACUUUGGAAAAUUAGAGUGUUCAAAGCAGGCUCAUUCGCCUUAGCAUGGAAUAAUUGGUUUCAAGGCUGCGUAAUGAUUAAUGAAAGCAUUUGCCAAGGAUGUUUUCAGAAAGGGGAU